UUUUGAUGAUUUUGACAUCUGCCAAGACCCAGAUCUAACCUUCCUCCACUUGACCCAGUAUUUUAACUACCAAAUAGUGACUUUAAAUGACUUCGAUUUUGCAUUUUUAUUUCUUUAAUAAUUAAAUAGCCCAGCGGUGGUCCGCAGUUAAAAUGGACGAUGCAGCAGCCCUGCAGAGACUGGAGCACUUGAUGACCGAAUUUUUCUCUUCAAAUGCAACGAACGAACGAAUUCGAACGAUCGAGCAGAGCCUCCACGAGUUCACGUCCCAGAUAAACUCCUGGAGGCCGUGUCUGCACUUCCUGUCAUCGACUAACAAUCAUUUUGUCAGUAUGUUCGCCCUGACGACCCUGGAGACGACGAUCAGCCGACGCUGGCCGAUUCUUCCCUGGGAGGAUCGCGCCCUCAUAAGAUCAACACUCUACACCCUCUCGUUGGAGCACGGAGUUGCUCCAUAUGUUAGGAAUAAAAUUGUCAAGCUCGUGGUGGACAUUGCUAAGCACGACUGGCCCCAUUUUUACCCAGACUUUUACUCCAACAUUCUCCAACUCUUGGGACACAAGCAGACAAGACUCCUGGGGCUCAUCUACCUGAGGACAGCAUCAGAGGAACUUGCAACACCCAGAGACGAUCUGCCCCUUCAAAGGAAGACUGAACUCAUUAGACUGCUCAGUGCUCAGGUGUCAACGACUCUUGAUACUCUCACAGCUCUCUUAACCGAAACUAUCAAGUCCCAAACACGUUCUGGAACAGUAACUCCACCACCGUCGCCAACAGGUGGUCAGAGUGUACCACCAGCUCGAUCACUCCUCGAUGUUGACGGUCUGACGAUAGGAAGUAAUGACAUAUGCAUUGCCACCCUAGAGGUCUUGGGGCACAUGUUCAGUUGGAUCGUUCCCACAGAUCACAUUUCCCCGAAUCUCCUCGACGCGAUAUUUACUUGCGCCAGGUACAAUCACUCCAUGAACUCGAGACAAGUGGAGAUGGUGGUCCAGGCGAUGACGACCAUCAACGAACUCCUGUAUCGUCCCUGCUCCCCCAGCACAACCGAAACUCUUCUCCUGCAGAUUUUUGAUCAUGGAGUGACAUUAUUUCAAAUAAUGGAACGCCUGGACAGCAUUGACGAGAGCUACCUGGAGAAGACAACGGAGUUCCUCCAGCUGUUCGUAACGAAUCACCUGAAGAGGGUGGAGUCAUGUCCAAAAUUUCCAGUUGUAGUUCUCCUGGAGGUGCUGUACCACCACACAUUCCAGCAGAAUACCUCGAUCCCAGGGUACCUGAGGUGCCUCGAGGUGUGGAGCUGUCUCCUGGAGUCGACGCAGUCGAGGUACUCGACGAUUGCCCUGGGAUUCGCUGAGAAGCUCCUCAACAGGAUGUCCUUCAAGGUAGAAGGGAGAAAUCUCAAAGAUCUGGACACAGAGACCCUCGACGAUAACGACGAGACAGAGUGGCAGCACUUCCUCAGGUGCAGUAUUGAGUGCUUGGCGAGGGUCGCCGAUAUCUCACCCCUGCCAGUCUUCAAUCUGCUGUACAGAUCCUGGAGUGCAGACAUAUCGAUUUACGGAGAGCUAGGAUCAGCUGUGUCCCAUGGCCAGGUGACAAUUCUUUCGGAUUCAGAUGCUACCACUGUUCACUCGCACCUCCGAGACCUCGCUUCAACUACUCAGGCACUGGCUCGCCUGUACUCUUUGUUCACCGAUCCCCAGGACACCUCAAAGUCCCCAGUGGAGGACCUAGUGAAUCACACACUUGACGCCUGCACAUUUGCCCAGAACAAUCAUCUGUUUCAUCCACCCCUCCAGCCCCCAGCAAUUGUCCUGGACCUAGUGGAGGUGCACUCGCAAUUCCUGGCGUCGUUGCAGGCCUGGUGCCACUGGAUGGCAAAACAGCCUGAGAAAAUCAGGGAGAGCUUCACCGAGAGAUGCAUUCAGGUGUGCAUCUGGGCGUUAUCACCGUCGCGAUCGCCAGAGCCCUCAAUUCCCCUCAAUCUGGUGCAUUCAGCUGCUCACCUCCUUCAGAGUGUCACAGCAAUACUCAGGCCAAACCUGUGGGAACACCAGGGAUUCAGGGAGCUAAUAGCCUGCCAGAAUUACCCUCCAAUGAGAGUAGAAACCGUGAAAGUCCUGAGACGAGCGCUUGCCAAUGGAAUUGUCCUGGUGGCAGGCGAUGGAGCUGUGAGACACCGUCUUCUUUCAUCAAUGAUAUCAACCCUGUCAUCACCCCUGGGUGGCCUGGGUCACCAGAUCCCCUCAGAUGUCACUAUCAGCACCUCCAUAACACCACUGAAACAACUCCUCGAGGACUGCUGCUCCUCCUCAACGAGCAUUAAAAAAUUGCUCCACGAGUGCCUCCAGGAGACCAUCACCAGAGCCCUGGAGAUUCUUCCCCAUGUGGUGAGGUCUCAAGCCUGUGAGUCCCUUAUGCAUUUUCUCCACUCUGUCUUUCACGUUCUUCAGCAACAAUUGGGAGCUGAAUUUAUCCAGGGUGCUGUCCAGGGUAUGCUCCAGAUAUACAGCGCUGAGAGCAUUAGUGCUGGUCCUGCCCUCGAUCAACUACUCGAGAUUCUCAUUCUCGUGGUGUCGGCACCAUCUCCUGGUUUCAAAGCAUUUGUCCCUGGAAUCACUGGACUUUGUCUUGGACACGUGUGGCCAGCUGUUGGGGGAGAUCUCAGUGCCAAUCCUGAUACAACUCUCGUUCUCCUUCGGUUGUUCCAUGGAAUUCUCAUGCACAGGUGGCAGUAUUUUUAUGGUGCUGGUGUUCUCAGGAGCUUUGGUGCAACUCUGGAGGAGAAUGUCGAGCACAAGGAGGAGCUAGUCGCCAUUCUCGAGGCUUUUGGUCAGGCUCUUCUUCAGUCAGAUGUCAAUAUCUUCAGACAGAGUCUUCAGAGCCUUGAGGCACUCAAUUCCAGGUGGAGGCUCUACCAGAAGGAGAUCUUCAAGAAUCAUCUGCUGGAGAGAUUUCUCGUCGCUCUCUUCACUGUCUUGAUUCACAGAUCACAUAAUCUUCUCGCCGAUGACAUCGCUGUUGCCAUUCACAAUUUAGCUGGGGUCGACAUCAACUGGUUCUUCAGUCACUUCCUGCCGACGUUCCUCGGUGGUUGUGAAGGACUCGAUGAUGUCCAGAGGGCGACUCUCAUGGAGGGAUUUGAUAAAUCAACGGAUCAGCCAACGCUGACGAGGUCAGUCCUCCGUCUGGUAUCAGAUCUCCGGUGCUAUCAGAUGUGCAGGCCCGUGUAAAUAAUCUAGAUAAUUGUAAUUCCAGAGAAAAAACUUCACGUCAUCGACGAAAAUCAAUCAUUCGACACUUCACUGCCGAGUAAUCAUUGAAUCAGUUGUUUUGCUGAAACGAGCGGUCGGGGGAGAGUGAUAAGAAUACCCUCGGAGAUAAGGAGAACUCGAUAACC